rnacentral:misc_RNA from 1 species
GGGAGAUCGAUGGAGUAGGCGGACACCUUCACCGGCGCCGGUGAAGCAUCUCAGGUUCUUUUUCUUCUUCUUUUUUUUGGACAAAUUUGAGAGGAUUGAAGCUCGCCGGACUUACAUGGACCGGUAGUUGACGGGUUUGGGAGGGCUCAAUGUUGACUCAUGAGUGAGAGGAAGAAAAAAAGAGCGGUAAAAUGGGAAGAGAGCGAGAACGAAGAGGAAGGUGGUCAUUUACGUUCUGGUCUCGGCUGUCCGUAAUUUUACACGACGUCGUUUAGAAGGGCAUGAAAUGACGCCGUUUCAAUGGUUCUAGCCUUCUAGCCUUUUAGCCUUUACAACCUGAAACUUGCAGCUGCUAACACAUGAA